GAGAGAGGCUCGCAGCAACGAAAAUUGCUAAUUUUCACAACCCUGGUUGAACUCCUGGGCUCACUCG
rnacentral:tRNA from 1 species